rnacentral:lncRNA from 1 species
UUUUUUUUUUUUUUUUUGAGACGGAGUCUCGCUCUGUCGCCCAGCCCAGGCUGGAGUGCAGUGGCGCGAUCUCGGCUCACUGUAAGCUCCGCCUCCCGGGUUCACGCCAUUCUCCUGCCUCAGCCUCCCGAGUAGCUGGGACUACAGGCCACAACGCGCCCGGCUAAUUUUUUGUAAUUUUUAGUAGAGACGGGGUUUCACCGUGGUCUCGAUCUCCUGACCUUGUGAUCCGCCCUCCUCCCAAAGUGCUGGGAUUACAGGCGUGAGCCACCGUGCCCGGCCUCCAAAUUUUUAUUUAUUCAUUGAACUUUAAAUUUUGUAUAUGCAUAGUUUUCCAAUAUUUUUAUUUGUUCCUGCAUUUUUGGGGUUUCUUUUGCAUCUGAGGAGUGUUUUAUAAUAAUUGUGUUUAAUUCUAUUUCAGGAAAUUCACAUGCAUUCCUUUAUGUAACUUUUAAAAAGAUGUAUUAGUAUUCUUUAUUAGUUUUAUUAAUAUUCUUUAUCUCUGUUUCCAUUGAGUCUUACAAACUGGUGUAGGUUUGAAGUUUUCCUCCAAUAGGCUUUUGUGCUGAAGAUAUUGCCUUUGAGAUUACAGUUCUGUGAGUUUUAAGUAGGUCUCCUGGCUGAACUUGGUACACAAUACAAACUGAAUUUUAUAGUCUAGUUACCAGGAGAACUAAUAGUCUGGAGUUCUAUCUGUAUCCUGGGUAGAUCUGUCUGUCUCCAAGGUCCUGGACUUCAGGCCUGGCACUAAGACAAAUAUUUUCUUCACAACUUGCAAACAGUGGAGUUUUCAGCACUUGUGCUGAAAUGUGUGGCUAUCUAUGGUAGUUGGGAGAACUACUGUUAUGUACAGACAGGUCCCUGGGCCUCUCAUAUUGCUUCAUUCUUUUGCUGAGACACGCUAGAAUUGAGACACAAUCUUAUGUCAUCCAAGACUAAAAUAUCUAAACCUUCCUCUGGCGUCAAAAUUAAGAUAUGUCCUGCUGUGUUUUGGAGUUACCAAUCCUGCUCUGAGUCUGUGGCAGAGACUAUUUACGCACUUGUUUCAAAAUUCACAGUGGAUCCAAAGUGAGGGUAUCCAUCUGUAGGACACUGCUGGACCUGAUUCUCUCAUGGACCCAUAGUAGGCAAAAUAUCUCAUGUAUCUGCAAACAACAAAAAUCAAUAGUAAGAUCUGUAUAUAUUAGAGGACCUACUAAAAGUCAUAACUGAACAAGAGUUUGUUAAGAAUUCCCAUGUGUUGUUUCUUUGGUUUUAAAUUUUCCCAGACUAUAGCGGGAGCUGAAAUUGAGAUUAAGGUAAAAAACAAAAACUAUUUUUGGUGGCUUUUUUGAUGUAACACUAAGAAAAAUUUCUUUUGCAGGCAAAAUUGCUCACAAAUGCAAGUUCAGAGAUGCUUGUGUCAAUCUAAUCAAUCACCUUCCAGAAUAUUCUUUGGCUUAAGGACUUCAAGGCUAUCUAGUUUUAACUUAUAAUUCUCUAUCGAUACAGUGUAAAUCUGGGACUUUGGCAGUGAAGUUGACACAGUCUCAUCAGUAACUGCUGACAGAUAGAAGCAGGCAAACUUGUCUGGGUUUACUGCUUAGUUCGCUGCACAGGCAUAGAAACUCUGCCUACCACAGAGUGGAUCUGCUCUUGAAUAGAGAGAAGCAAGCCAAUCCUGGUGGCACAGAUAGAUGAGUUCUCUUUAGGCUCCUCAGGGGAGAAAAAAUAACCUGAAACCAUGCCUUAAAAAGGAGAGUAUCCAUUUUAUAAGAUAACAUUAGGGUCCACUGCCAAGACAAGGGUCAGCAGGCAGACUUCAUUCUGUUUAGGCUCUACUGCACAUGAUUCUUCUGCAUCUUAUAAAAGACAGUUUUGUGAUCAGGCUCCAGGAAUACAUGUGAAUUUAACCCAGCCAAAGGGACCAGUCCUGAGUCUAAAUUAAAGAAAACAAAUGACUUGUCUGCCAUAGGAAUGUUUAUUUGCAGUCUCAAAAAUCAUAAUUUUUGGGCUACACCAGCAUUUUACAGAUCUCAUAGCUGAAUCCCAAUCAUUUUAUCAAGAAAUAAAGAAACUUAUGUCUGUGAAUGGGUACAGAAUUCUUGCGUUUUAAAGGGAUACAGAAUGGUGACCUCAUAUUUCACUAUCUUGCUUUCAUCAUCCUCAAUCUUAUAUUUUUAACAGCUAAAAUGUUAUUGUACAAUGAACACGAAGGUUUGCCAUUUUACUUAAUAUAAAAACUAUUCACUCUGCACCAUGUUUGACAAUCAGCUAUUUCUAUGUGUGUGAGGGUGUAUGUUUGCAUAGGGGUGUGAUUGAUGUACAGUGGUGAGAAGCAAAAGAUAAAUCAAAGCCCUAUGAAAUCAUUAUGUCCUUUGAAACACUUUUAAGUUAAAACAGCUAUAUUGUGAUUAGUAAUGUUCUAAGCAGCAGUGCAAAGACAUGAGAGCUUUAUACAUUAUCUUGUAACUCUCCAUAAAUAAAUAGCAUGGGGCUGUUCCAAUGUGAUUUUAUUUCUGAUAUUUUCACCUUUUUUUCUUAAGCUGACGCUGUCUUUUCUGAGUUUUCUUACUUAACUUUUAGUUGUUUUUCCCAAUGUUUUCUCCUCUUCACAAAGUGUCCACCCUGUAAGCAUAUGACUUUAAUCUCACCACUCCUACCUCCUUCCAGUGAUACAUAUGUGGUAAAAUUUCAUCUCUGCCUAAGUGUCUUUAUACAAAACAUGACACCAUUUCUUAGGUCCUCUGUCCCAGCUCACCCGUGAUUUCCCGUGUUUCUUCCUUCUAGCUCUGAACAAUAUAUUGUAUUUCUUCCAUUACUGCCAAUCUGAUAUAGAAAAAAACUAAUAAAUAAGUCAAAAACAACCUCUGUGUACCGUCUCUUAAGUUGUUUAAUUUUUGUAACUGCAGACUGAGAGCUGUUAGCUCAAAUUUUACUGGCACAGAGACAAAAUUUUGCACAUCCAGCUAUUUUUAAAUGAGCUUCAAUGAGUAGAGUGUAGAUAUUAGAUUUUCUUGGUGUACAAAUUCAUAAACUUUGCUCAGCAUUUGUUGAAUAUUAAAUAAAUGCUUUUAUUGUAUGAUGCUAAGCCAGAAUUGAAAGUAGAGCUUUUAAAACUUAAUUUCUGGGAGAGUUUUGAAGCACCAUCACAGAGACAUACUUCUUAAACUCUUAUCCAGAAAUAACCUUACUUAAGUCAGUUUUACUGAACUGAAAAAUCUGCACCUUAAUACUGUGUACAAUCUUAAUUUGUGAGGGUCUUUAUCUAUUACACAAAAUUUCACAAUAAAGACUACUGUGUGGUACUUAGUCAUAAUGAAAUUGUUUUUCUUUACUACUUCUCAUAUUAUUUAUUCUUCAAGAAUCAUUCUAUCUGUGAUAGCUAACAGGUGCAUUACCACAUUCAAAUAUUCACAUAUCAUGUUAUUUUUAAAAGCCAAAAUGAUACCUUUUCAGCAUUUAUAAUUUUCUUGGUUAUUUUAACCACCCCCAGCUUUAUUCAGGAGCUAUUAAACAUUGAUAAGACAGAGUAUUGUUGCUAUAUGCUUUCAAGUGCAAUUUCUCUUGAAAUUUUCUCACCUAGAGUUUCCAUGGUAAGUUGCUGAGAGGUAUCACCUAGACAUUUAAGUGCAUUAUUGGAUAUACUCCACUGAAGAGUUGUCUUUCCCUUCUCCCCAUCUUUAUCAUGGUUCCUGCUACAGGAAGGAGAAAGAGAGAAGAAAACACAAUAAAGAUACAAAGAGAAAAACUCAUGAUACC